AUGCUUGCUUUGACAGCACAUAGUCUAAAAUUGGAAAGAUACAGAGAUGAUUAGCAUGGCUCUCGCGCAAGGAUGACAUGAAAAUUUGUGAAGCGUUCCAUAUUUUU
ensembl:snRNA U6 U6 spliceosomal RNA